CAACCAGACAAGUGCAUGGCUGCAGAUAGCUUCAAAAAUGCCCAACCAAGUGAAAAUCUGAACUCUUAUUGCAUGUGGGGUCAGAUGAAAAUUGUUUCACA